rnacentral:rRNA from 1 species
UAGGGAAUCUUCCACAAUGGACGCAAGUCUGAUGGAGCAACGCCGCGUGAGUGAAGAAGGUUUUCGGAUCGUAAAGCUCUGUUGUUGGUGAAGAAGGAUAGAGGUAGUAACUGGCCUUUAUUUGACGGUAAUCAACCAGAAAGUCACGGCUAACUACGUGCCAGCAGCCGCGGUAAUACGUAGGUGGCAAGCGUUGUCCGGAUUUAUUGGGCGUAAAGCGAGCGCAGGCGGAAGAAUAAGUCUGAUGUGAAAGCCCUCGGCUUAACCGAGGAACUGCAUCGGAAACUGUUUUUCUUGAGUGCAGAAGAGGAGAGGGGAACUCCAUGUGUAGCGGUGGAAUGCGUAGAUAUAUGGAAGAACACCAGUGGCGAAGGCGACUCUCUGGUCUGCAACUGACGCUGAGGCUCGAAAGCAUGGGUAGCGAACAGG